GCAUUUCAAAGGAAUAACAGGAGGUGAGGUCACCCCACUGAUUGCCAGGGUUGACUUGGCUGAUCGGGCUGGCUAGGCGGAUGUCCCCUUCCUCCCUCACCACUCCAUGGGCGUCCCUCCCAAAGCUGCACACUUGGUCGAAGAGGAUGACCAUCCCUGAUAGAGGAGGACUGGUCUUCGGUCAAGGGUGUACAAGUAGCUGCGCUUCCCUGCUAGAACCUCCAAACACGCGCUCAAGGUCCGUUUAAAGGAAUAACAGUGGCAUCGAUUCUCCCUUCUAUUUCAUCUGUCCUUUUCCAGCAAGAAGAAAAGAGAC
ensembl:misc_RNA 7SK 7SK RNA